GUGAAAGUGGCUCUGUGGUAGAGUGCUUGCCUUGCAUGCAUGAGGCCCUGGGUUCAAUUCCUCAGCACCACA
rfam:Dipodomys ordii contig_40234, whole genome shotgun sequence.